AAUUCAGCCCUAAUGGCGAAUGUGUGCGAACGUUCACCCUGGGAAGAGGUAUGGGACGAUAGCUGGCAUGGCAUCCAGACGCUGAAGGCGAGCUAAUACAGUGCAUUCGUCGCCGGAGAAUGAUGUUGCAUUUCACCCAAGUGGAAAUUUCUUGGUGACUGGCGGCGAUGACGAUACAAUAAGAUUGCUUGAUUUAUUAGAAGUUGCUCGUUUGGAAAUCUAAUUUGCAUACAUUUGAUGCCAAUAGCUCUCGU